AGAUUAUCACUGCUAAUAUUUUGGGGUGUAUACUUCUAGAUAUUUUUCUACGCAGCUUCUCUCCAAGAUAAAAUGGCAAAACCCAAAGAGAAAACUCCAAUGUGUCUGGUAAAUGAGUUAGCCCGUUUCAAUAGAGUCCAACCCCAGUAUAAACUUCUGAGAGAAAGAGGGCCCGCUCACGCGAAGAUGUUCUCAGUGCAGCUGAGCCUCGGUGAGCAGACCUGGGAAUCGGAAGGGAGCAGUAUCAAGAAGGCCCAACAGGCUGUUGCUAGUAAAGCUUUGACUGAAUCGACGCUUCCCAAGCCAGUUCAGAAACCGCCCAAAAGCAAUGUGAAUAAUAACCCAGGUAGUAUCACUCCCACGGUGGAGCUGAAUGGGCUUGCCAUGAAGCGGGGAGAGCCUGCCAUCUACAGGCCGCUGGACCCAAAGCCCUUCCCAAAUUACAGAGCUAAUUACAACUUCCGGGGCAUGUACAAUCAGAGGUAUCAUUGCCCGAUGCCUAAGAUCUUUUACGUUCAGCUGACUGUAGGAAACAAUGAGUUUUUUGGGGAAGGGAAGACUCGACAAGCUGCUAGACACAACGCCGCCAUGAAGGCCCUCCAGGCGCUGCAGAACGAGCCCAUUCCCGAGAAGUCCUCUCAGAAUGGCGAAUCCGGAAAAGAAAUGGAUGAUGACAAAGACGCCAAUAAAUCUGAGAUCAGCUUAGUGUUUGAAAUUGCUCUGAAGCGAAAUAUGCCCGUCAGUUUCGAGGUCAUUAAAGAAAGCGGACCACCACAUAUGAAAAGCUUUGUUACACGGGUGUCCGUGGGAGAGUUCUCUGCAGAAGGCGAGGGAAAUAGCAAAAAGCUCUCCAAGAAGCGCGCUGCGACCACCGUCUUACAGGAGCUUAAGAAACUCCCACCUCUUCCUGUGGUUGAAAAGCCAAAACUAUUUUUUAAAAAACGCCCUAAAACCAUAGUCAAAGCUGGACCAGAAUAUGGUCAAGGAAUGAACCCCAUUAGCCGCCUGGCUCAAAUUCAACAGGCCAAGAAGGAAAAGGAACCAGACUAUGUUUUGCUUUCAGAGAGAGGAAUGCCGCGACGUCGGGAGUUCGUGAUGCAGGUCAAGGUAGGCAAUGAAGUUGCUACUGGAACAGGACCGAAUAAAAAGAUAGCCAAAAAGAAUGCCGCAGAAGCAAUGCUGUUACAACUCGGUUAUAAAGCAUCCACUAGUCUUCAAGAUCAACUUGACAAGACAGGGGAAAACAAAGGAUGGAGUGGUCCGAAGGCUGGUUUUCCUGAACCAACCAAUAACACUCCAAAAGGAAUUCUUCAUUUGUCUCCUGAUGUUUAUCAAGAGAUGGAAGCCAGCCGCCACAAAGUAAUCUCUGGCAAUACCCUAGGCUAUUUGUCACCCAAAGAUAUGAACCAACCCUCCAGCUCUUUCUUCAGUAUAUCUCCCACCUCGAAUAGUUCAGCCACAAUUGCCAGGGAACUCCUUAUGAAUGGAACAUCUCCUACGGCGGAAGCCAUAGGGUUAAAAGGAAGUCCUCCUACUCCCCCUUGUUCUGCAGUACAACCUUCAAAACAGCUGGAAUAUUUAGCAAGGAUUCAAGGCUUCCAGGUAUGAAUUAAAAACAAAAACAAAACCAAGAAAACAAAACAACUCAUUAGCUCCAAAUCCUUCAUCUCUAUCCAUCAGAAAGCUCAUCUUUUGCCUGCUAGUGUGACCCAUAUGCCACUUACAUUGUAAAUUACUAGGCACACAAAUGGCAGGGAAAAGAGGGCCAUAUGCACAUGCCUCAUUGUCUUUUAUUUUCAUUCUUCCUAGUGAUUCUUUUGCUGCCUGGCUCUCCUCAUUUUUCUUCUUCCUCUUCCUUCUUUUUUUUUUUUUUUUAACUCCCCCCGCCCCCAAUUCUCUAUUUUGCAUUCUGGUUGGUAUUGAUUGGGUGGGUACAUAAGGCUCCACUCUGUCUUCCACAAACAAAAUUUCUGCCUUCAUAUAUUUGGCAGGAGUAUUGAGCUCUAAGUUCUCCCUCCUUUUACAGUAAGGUUGAGUUUUUCUAAUGAUGCUUUUACACUCAUUGAAGUUUUGAAUUCUAUUGCCACUAAUAAUUCAGGUAUAUCAUUAAGAUAUAACAUUCUACAGGUCUAUUAUCUAAGGGAUUCAUUAAACAUGGUAUUAGAACAAUAAUGAAAUGCUUUCUAGUUGUUUGGGGCAUAACACCACGUAUUUGUUUUACUGGAUCGUGUUUUGAACCAGGUGGGGUGGCACCUGCCUCAGACGGUACUGACAUUUUGGUGUCACUGGGCAGUCUAGUCCACUUAACUGAUUGUCUAUAUGAAUUUGGGGAUAGAAACAUUUUUUCCUAUUUAUUUUUUGUUCCCCUUUGAAAAAAACACCCAACAAUCCUAUAUGGAUAGAAUUUUUGAAAGAAUGGUUAACGCUAGGAAGAGGAAAUACCUGUGUUCUGAUUUCUUAGUUGCCUUGAACAUCAUGUGCUGACCUGUAACCGCUAACAUAACCGCUAAUAUGACCGCUGAACUGCAGCGAGCUUGUGCGUGGGAGUCUCGCUCCUGCAGGUUCCCCCGUUUCCACUUCUUUUCCAUCUUAGACUUCUUCCUUAUGACCAAAACUGUAAUUUUCUUUAGAAACACUCUAGGAGAUCUGUAUUAUGUAGAAUGAUCAUGUAUUUCUACAAAUUUUACAAGUUUAGAUACAAAAUAAGACAGAACAUGUGUUUUUGGUGUGGGAGGGAUUUUUGCAUGUUUUCUUUUUUUUCUCACAGGAAAUGGAUUCCUUCAAAUUGAUUGCCCGGUAGUCAUUAGACUAUUAAUAUGAAAUUACAGAAAAUGUUACCAAUUAUUGGUUCUUCAUCUGAAAUUUUAAGCGCUUAAAGUUAAAAUUUUAGAACUUGGUUUUGUUUAUUAUAAGAAUGAAAAUAAAUCACUGUUCAAAAUAAAAAGACGUUGAUUCAUACCACA